AUGCCACAAGUUCUACCUCCUCCUAAUCAUCUUACGCAGGGUCAAACUCUUAAGUCGGAUUUGCUCAUUACGGGGCCCAAAAUAUUUUCUGACGCCGCUUUCAGAAGUUCAAAAGUUCCUGGUCUAUUACAGGGAGCAGUUGCUAAUGGAGUAGGGGUAUAUCUUGCUUUGUCUCGAGAUCGUUUUGAGAUCAAGGUGCAAAUUCAAGCAUCAGCUCCUCCCACUACUUCUCCUCUACAUGCAGAAGCUCUAGCUCUUUCUUUUGUAGCUCAAGUGGCUAGUAAGCUCAAUAUUCUUCAGCCAACCUUUCUCAUGGAUGCCUCUCUUUAUCUUUGGUGGCUGCUACCAGCAAGAUUGUUGAAUCUACCACCCCUUGGAGCAUCAGGAAGCCUUUGGCUAAUUUCUUCAAGCAUGCUAACAGUUUGCAACCUCGAGUGUUUCACAUUCCUAGGGAAAUCAAUGGCAUAG
rnacentral:rRNA from 1 species